GAAUGUACAAACUGUAAGUCGCUCUGGAUAAGAGCGUCUGCUAAAUGACUCAAA
rfam:Salmo salar isolate Sally breed double haploid chromosome ssa17, whole genome shotgun sequence.